AUACGACCAUAUCACGUUGAAACACCGGUUCUUGUCCGAUCACCGAAGUUAAGCAAUAUCAAACCUCGUCAGUACCUAGAUGGAGGAUCGUUUGGAAUAUCAGGGGUUGUAUU